rnacentral:misc_RNA from 1 species
GUCCAAACUGCCCACAGCAAGGACCAGAAUAAUGCCUUCGCUUUCUGGAUAUAUCAUUUCCAUCUCUGGGCCUUCUCUCUUUUAGUUUUCCUAGACUAAUAGUAUCAUGAGGAUUUCCAAUUGCUACAGUCUGAACUAUUCCAUCAGCACCUUCAUUUGGUAGAAUCAAUGACUCAGAUGGGCAAUUGUAGGCAUUCUCACAAUGUGUUUGCCUAGGAAGAUCCUUAAUAUGAGAUAAUACCAUAGCAAUUUGCUCACAUGCAACAUCAAGGCGUUCCUCUGUUUCAAUUGAUUCUGUCACAAAUGUUGACACCAUGGAUUCUAGUAACUGAAUCCUUUCAGAAUGCACUCUUGUAUUGGAUGACAAACUAACAUCACACCAUCGGGUAGGCAAAAAUUGGUCUGGAAUGUGAAAACAGUUAUUGGUUGAUAGGACACGGAGAACAUGCCUACAAAGGAUGCCUAGAAAUUCAAACUGAUUGCAGCUACAACUGAUAUGCUCUUGACAAGGAUCCCAAACGACUUUGCACCCCCCAGAUACCUGAGUAUGGUGUCUGACUUGGUAACAAUAUUCAUCUAUCGGAAAAGACGCAUAC